rnacentral:lncRNA from 1 species
AGUUUUAACUUACUAGCGACAUGUUGUCGUUGUUUUAUAGAUUGUGGAUUUUUAAUUGUGUAUGGGUUCGCCCCCGGUCUCAGUUCUAUUCCAGUUCUUAUGAAUACCUAAUUCAGUUUGCUACCUUACUUCCUAAUUGAUUUACGAGAUUUGAACACCAGUUAAAACUAAAAUAACAAAAUAACAAAUUACUGUCGCCUUAUUUCAUGAUAUUAGCUACUUACACGUUCUUAAUGCUGAUGUAUUCUUCUGAUGUUUCAAUCUUGUUUCAAUCUCGUUCUGGAAUAAUUUCCAAUAAAAGUGAUACAAGUGGCAGUAUCAAUGAAUUUUAAAAAGGAUAUAAUCAAACUUAACUCUGUGAAAAAAUUGUGUAUUAACAAUAAGUAGUUUUUGAGUUAUCACUUUUUUCAAAUUUUAUUACCAAUCAAGUCAUUCUUUAAGGCCAAAAGCCAAAACGCCAGAAAAUCGGUGAGAGGUGCAAGAAAUGAUUUUACCAGAAACAUGUACAACCUUUACCCCUUUUUCUUUUCAAAGUUCUUAGAUGCGUAUUUUUUCAAUCAUUUAUAACAAAGAAGUUGAAAUUAUAUGCAUUUUGUUCUAAAAACAGAGAAAAAUCACAAAUUUAAAAAAAUUGACAUAAUGGUAAAUUUGAGACAAAAAAGCAUCAAAAUAUGAUCAAACUUUCUUAUACUAACACCUACUUAUAGUUUUUUUAAGACAUUUAUCCAGAUUAGUUCAUUUCAUCUUUAUUGAAAGUAUGGAAAAUGGUAAAUUGUGGAACUGUGAUUUGUUUCACGAUAAUAGACCAAAAUUAGGUAAAAAUAGAUGAAAAAUUAGGAAAUAAUCAAAAGGUGGUACUUUCAAAUGUCCAUAGCAGUGCACCACUAUAAGAUAUUUUCGUCACCAUUUUUUUUUUACAGUCAUACAAACCAAAAAACCAGAUUAAGAAAAAAGUAUAAUUCUUGAAAUGUUUGGCUCCUCAGAGGUAUACAUCCAUAAGUUGGUCAUAUGUUAUACGAACACAUAUCGGUGUUACAAAAUGCGAUUGCAAAAGUAAAGAUAUCUUUUUAAAAAUGAGUUUUACUGAAAAAAUUUGAGUCACGUGAGUUAAUGUGAAUUGCUUAUGCAUUUCAAGAUAAAAAUUCCGAAACCUCACUCGAGUACAUACUUAAAUCUCGUAAGUCAACACUGGGACAACAAAAGUAAGCAUUACAGUAAAAAAAGAGGCAAUCGAGACUUGACAAUGGUUAGGAUUGAGUGCAUGCAAAGGUGUAAAUAUCUUGUUAUGCAUACACACAUUGUAACAUUUAAAACUGAAUUAAUAUUCCAAAGCAUUAUCCCAUUUAAUAUUAUAUGUUUAUAAAUGAGUUUCUAAAAUCAAUACCAACUUGUUUAAAAUUAAUGAAACAAUUGAAUAAACACUUAAUAAGGGUCGUGCAUUUAGGGUUAUGAAUUGAUUUAUUUAUUGUUAAUUCACCAUGAGUUGCACGAGAUAUGGGACAUACAUAACAUUUACGGCACUAUAUCAACUGAGACAGAAAUCUUACUGCACAAAAAUGAAAAGACAUUUACAAGUAAAUAUCUCUUUUCCAAUAGGUUGAUAUAUCAAUUCUGCUUAUAGAGUUAAUCCUAGGCCUGCUACAUGUAGUAGUUUAAUGUAUUUAGUUUUAAUCUUCUAAUGUAUGAUAUAUGCAGAAUGUAUGCAUUUUUUUCUUUCAUUUAACUAUUUGACAUUAAUAAUUUUGUAAUACUUUGAUAAAUUGUUUAUUUCUAUUUUGACCAUUGAUAUUUAAUUAGAUGUGUGUAGUUUUUGUUUUGAUGUUCUUUCCGAUAAUGUUUUAUCUAUGUGACAUGGGAAAAUCAAAUAAAAUUUGACUGACCAUGAUUUACAACAUUUUGCCACUAUUCAUGAAAAAUGUUUAAGAUUCUAAUACUCGCUUACUGUCGUUAGUUUUGAUUUGAAUAUUUAGUGUGAAUAAAUUCGCAGCUGUAUAAUAAAAUAAAUUUGAAACAUUCAUGUCUGUACUUAAUUAAAUCAAUCUAUUUUUUUUUCCGUCAACUAUAUUUUAGCCAAAGAGCCACGAUUGCCUCCCGUUAGACCUUAAAACAGGGUUUAUGUCAAAUUACUGAUAGUGCUUCAACCAAUGUAAUAUAAACCUAAUAUGAGAUCAAAUGUUCUUAAAAACGAUUUAACCAAAGUAAUAAAAUGUCAAUUGCUCAUCCGUGGAUUCAGGGAAUAUGAUGCCGUUAACGAUAGGCCUAGACUUUUGUAUUGAAAGUAGGAAUUUGAUAUAAUGGAUAUUCAUGGAAAAAAAUUUAAAAAAAUUAUCUUGUCAUUUGCCAACAUUUCUGAUAUCAUAUUUUUUAAUGUCUUCCAAUUUUAUUUUAUUUUUGAAGAAAGGAUAUGUGCACUUUUCAUUGUGUUUCUGGUCAGAGGCACAGUCAAAGGUGUUUAACAAACCCAAUCUCAUUUGAAUGUAUUUUUUAUUUGAUAAAAGAAUUUGAUAAAAGAACAUCUUUUCAAUGAUUGAAAACAAAAUGUCAGCCAUGUAGUUGAGAGGAAAAAUAAAGAACUGAAGGCCAAUGGCCGAAACGUCUUGAAAAAUUGGUUUAUUUAUACAAUUAUUAAAAGAAUUUUAAAUAGAUUCUUCAACAUUUUUACAUUUUUCCAAUUAAUCUCAGAUAUAUUUAAAGCAACACAAUGUAGUAAGAACUGUUCUUGUUUAAUAAUUUGCAUUGUACUUUCAGUGGUAGUUAUGGAAUUUUAUCUAACAUUAAAAAGCAUGUUAACCAAAGUAUUGAAUCUGUAAAUCAAAGCUAAUUUUACACUUUUUAUUUUUAUUUAAGUUAUAUGAUAAAUAUGUAAUUUUAUCUCGAAGUGUUAGUUGUUGGGUAAGACAAAGUAUAGGUUUAUGAGGUAUUUGAAAUCAUUUCCGAACUUUUGAAAUGUUUACAACAUAUCACAUAUUACAGUUUUAAAUAAAAUUAUUUGGAUGAAUAUUGGGGAAAAAAUGGAAUUUUUAAGUAAAAAUAAAAAAAAAGUAUGUUUUGCCGCAUUUUAUUUACAUUCUAUACAUUGAAAGAACUUUUUCUGGAAAUAUAAAGUUAAUAUACGUAAUUUAUUUUUAGAUUCAGGAGCAGUUUGAAGAGAUCUGUUCAUUAAAAUCCGAAAUGUCGCCAAAUAACGUAUACUUUGACUUUAACGUACAUUAUUCAUAUAUUUUUACUUCAUUUACACAUGUAUAUAAAUUAUAUUUUUGUAAUUAAACUCGAAAAAAAGCUGAAGUUGUAUAUUUCAAAUAAACAACGAAUAUAAGCCACCAUGGUAUGGUAGUAAGACAAUGGCGUAGGAGUAGACUCUUUCAUGAUUUCUCUAUUUUCAAAUUUUUAUUUUGCCAAAAAGCGGGG